UCCCUGGUGGACUAGUGGUUAGGCCUCGGUGCGCUCACCGCUGCUGCCUGGCUUCGACACCUGGCCAGGGAA